ACAGAGCUCAAUGCAACAACUUAGACAAAGAAAAGAAUUAUAUGUGGAACUUAGUCAUUUGGUCAGGAUCCUUCUUCAAUAUACCCACUUUUCUCACUUUCUUCCUCUCUUUCUUGUUCUGGGGAAAUAUUAAAAAACAAAAAUAAAUAAAUUCCACAUAAACCCCACCUAAUAACUUGUUACGGGAUAUUCAAACAAACAGCUCUUCAUAAGAACCAUCCUUUAAUUUUCCUUUUGUUUCAAAUAGAUGUCUCAUAAGAUUCAAAGUUUGUCUGCAUGUACAUAAAAACGUAAAAUAUGCAAGUAAAAAUAAUAGGUUUGAAGGUUAUGUCCACAAAAGCAUAUAAGCAAAACAAUUGUAUCAUAUUACAAAUGAUAUAAACAUGUAGCCACUGCUAGAUAAUCGAUCUUUCCUAUCAGAGAAUUAAUCUCAUAAUUUUAGAGGAGUCCUAUAAUAAGGAUGAAGUAUAUGAAGCCAUAUUUAAGACAUUUAGAAUGAGGAUACAUGAACAUAUAUCUAUAACAGUUCAAGUGCAAGAAAAAUGUCAAUUAACAUAAAGCAAUCUACAUGAGAUUAUCAUCUCUUUUUUAUAAAUAGACCACAUUACCACAGUCUAAACAAAAGUUCCAAUUUUUUACAAUAAUAUGAAUAAAAGUGAAUCAAGAGAGAAAAUAUCUUAACAUUAAAAGAUUACCCAUGUUCUGUUGAGAUUAUUUAUGACUAAAUUCCAUAUGCUUUCUGAAGCAGACAUUCUUUGCUGAAAUCCAUUGAGCAAAUCUGAAGCACAAAAAUAUCUUGGAUGAUUAGUUUAAAUAAAUUAAACACUUUGAGACAUAGCUUCUUAAUUCAAAAACAACAUGAGAGACAUAAAUUUCUUCUAAUAGUUUAACUAUAUGAUAAGGGUAUCACUAUUUCUAUUUGGAUUUACGAAGCAGCAAUUACUUGGCAGCAAAAAUAGAUAACAUGGUAUUAUCUCUUUAUAUCUGAAGUUUUGAACAGCAGAGCUUAAAACUUUGUUUGGAAAAUUACAAGUUGUUCCAACAUGAGUUUCUGGUAAAGAAUUUUAACUCACACGUUCAGUUGUCUCUAUUCCCAUUAAGUUACAACAAUGUCUUGGCUGUCUCGCUGGAAAUAAGUUAAACAUACAUUAGAAAAGUUUUUAACUCAAAUAAUCCUGUCUCAAAUGUAAUUACCCUCUUUCCCGGCAUUUUAUGCUCCAAAUCCUAUCUUUUGAAGUCUUGCGAUUCCUUUGUAGCAGCAAAUCUCUAUAUUUUUUUUGUUUAUGAUCUCCUGAAAUAUAAGUAAGACAGAGGGAAUCGAAACAUAAAACAGAUUCGGAA
rnacentral:lncRNA from 1 species